AAGCGGAGGAGCAUGUGGUUUAAUCGAUGAUACGCGAGGAACCUUACCUGGGCUCGAACGUAAGAUGACUGUAGGUGAAAGCUUACAUCUCUUCGGAGCAUUUUACGAGGUGCUGCAUGGUUGUCGUCAGCUCGUGCCGUGAGGUGUCGGGUUAAGUCCCAUAACGAGCGCAACCCCUACCUUUAGUUGCCAUCAGGUUAAGCUGGGGACUCUAAAGGAACUGCCUACGCAAGUAGUGAGGAAGGCGGGGAUGACGUCAAAUCAGCACGGCCCUUACGUCCAGGGCUACACACGUGCUACAAUGGCCGAUACAGAGGGCAGCUACCUGGUGACAGGAUGCAAAUCUCCAAAGUCGGUCUCAGUUCGGAUCGGAGUCUGCAACCCGACUCCGUGAAGUUGGAUUCGCUAGUAAUCGCGCAUCAGCCAUGGCGCGGUGAAUACGUUCCCGGGCCUU
rnacentral:rRNA from 1 species